rnacentral:rRNA from 1 species
AAUAUUGGUCAAUGGUGGCAACUCUGAACCAGCCAAGUCGCGUGAAGGCUGACUGCCCUACGGGUUGGAAACUUCUUUUUUAAGUGAAUAUAGUGAGCCACGUGUGGCCUUUUGCAUGUACCUUACGAAUAAGGAUCGGCUAUCUCCGUGCCAGCAGCCGCGGUAAUACGGAGGAUCCGAGCGUUAACCGGAUUUAUUGGGUUUAAAUGCUUCGCAGGCGGAAUAUUAAGUCGGCGGUGAAAGUUUGCAGCUUAACUGUAAAAUUGCCGUUGAAACUGGUUUUCUUGAGGAUAUAUGAAGUAGGCGGAAUUUGUAGUGUAGCGGUGAAAUGCAUAGAUAUUACAAGGAACUCCGAUUGCGAAGGCAGCUUACUAAAAUACAACUGACGCUCAGGCACGAAGGCGUGGGUAUCAAACA